rnacentral:rRNA from 1 species
AUGGAGAACACCUGCAUAAACUUCACCGCCGUCGCGCGCUCGGUGCGGCUGCUCAAGAUCGACGGCUUCAGCCUGACCGAGAGCAUGGACCACGACGACUGCGUCAGAUCUAGGUGGACCUUCGACAGGUACGAGUGGGAGGUCCGCGUCUACCCCGCGAUGACCAGCUCUGCCGCCGCCGGCGGCGGCGCGUACGUGGUGUUGGAGGUGGCCUUCCUCAGCAAGCCCCGCAGGGGCAGCGUGAGGGCGGCCAUAGGCUGGUCGACCCGAGAGGGAUAUUCAAACCGUCCAAUGAAAUCAAACCGUCCAAUGAAAUCAGCAUCUCAAAGGUGUUCAGUCGCCCCCAGGAAUGCUCGACCAAGGCGGCGGUCGUCGGGCGGCGCGCGCUGGCGGCGUCGGCGUUUCUCCGGGGCGAUUCCUUCACAAUGGAAUGCAGCAUUGAGGUUCUUAAGGAGCUGCCUGAUACGGUGA